UCACGAGUUCAGAGGAAAGGAAAUUCUGCCACGUGACAAAGGACCACUUUCCGUACAGAGGCUGUAGGCAUUUCCUCUGAUUUCUUUCAGGGCAGAAGAGGAAGCUCUAGUUCAGAGGACAGCAUUUACGAUCUCUCAAGAAGUCCCUUUCUGGAAGCUCUACCAUCUGCUUAACUUUGACCUCUUCACUUGGAUCCCCAUUCAAAUGGAGCUGACCCUGAAGGUGAAGCCGGGAGCCAGACUCCAGCGUCCCCACAAAGGCCUCUGGCAAGAGGCACCUUCAUGAAAUCUUGAGGUCAAGGGCAGGAUCCCAAGCUGUAAGGCAGCCAGCAUCAAACUACACUUUUCAUAACUAAGAUUAAGAUAAGUAAAAUCAGGCUGGGCAGUAGCCCCGUGGUAGCACUUGCCUGAGGCCCUGGGUUCAAUUAUCAAUACUGCCAAAGUGAAAAAAAA